rnacentral:lncRNA from 1 species
CUGGGGAUUGGGAGCCAGCUGAGAGAAGCUGCCUGCCUGAGGUCAUUAAGCCCAGCCAGGCUGUUAUUGGCUGCACUGGCAUCAUUACUGUUAAUAUCCCCAACAGAAAAAGGCCUUAUAGAGCUCAGAGCAGACUUUUGGGGAUGUUGUCCCUUAUGUACUAGUUAUUGAGCUCAUUGGAUGCCUGGAACCUGCAUACUUUGUACAAACCUGAAUGGCAGAGCAACCCAUCUCAGUGAUGUCAUGUGUCAUGUGGUGAUGGCAGCUUGUAGAGCUGAGUUUUCUAUCCAGAGAACCAAGGUGCCCAGAAGUGCCCCAAGGCCACCACUGCCGCAUGGCAACCCAUGGGCUGUGGUGCUGGGGACAACAGCCAUGGGGAUGGAUGGACACUGGAAACCACCUGGCCAAGGUGUGCAUCUCCUCCUUCACCGUGAACCACGCCAAAUGCUCAGAUGGUAUCGGGGUAUCCCCUGUCGGCAAUGUCAUGAUGGGAAUUCUCAGUGGAAGUCUUUACAAAACAGUAUUUCUGUCAUUACCUCGUGGCUUACACGCAGCGUAUCACAGCAGCUGAGGAUGGAAAUGUGGUUGCUACCACCGUCCAACUUCUGUUACAGCGCUUCAUGGCAUCCAGUUAUGUAUCUGAUCUUCUUUCCAUUCCUGUAACCAGCCCGGUGCCCCUUCAUCUUUUUUGUUCUUACCUCAUCUGUUGAACAAAUGUCACAGCCACAGUUAUUAGAAAUAUUUGAACCUGACAGCUGCAAAUACUCAAAGGCAACUAUAUGUGCCCAGGCCUAUAAUUAGGUGGAGCGUUUAAUUUUCUUUUUAAAUCACAGAGAUCCUGUAUUGGAAUCUCUGCUGACACAGAACAUCAAUACAGACAGUGUGACUUAGCAAUCUUUAUGGUCAUUUAUUUUCCAUGCAUGUAGGGACAACCAAUACAUCUAUUGUGGCAUCUAUUGUGUUGAUUUUGCUUCGCUGAAGCUCAGACAGUGCUCAGCUUCAGCAGAGACAGCACACUGGCUGCAACAAAGGUAAAGUGUGUUCCUUAGUGACUACUAAGUGGGUUAAAUAAGAACAACGUGUAAUUAUUAGUUAAUAAGUGCUGCAAGGUGCACUGAAACUGAAGUGGAAAAUCAGUUGUGUAGAUAUCUCUCUCUCAUCACCCCAGUCUUAUGGAGGGAUGAUCAAGACACCAGGGAUGCCCAGUUUUCUCAGAGCCAAAGUAACAGGUGAAGUUAGAGGCAACAAGUCACAGCCUUGGGUCUCAUUGUUCAGAGCAGUUGGGUUUUUCUUGAUAUCUGCAAUAAAUCCGUUUCCUAUUUUGUUGUGCUCCUGUGG